rnacentral:rRNA from 1 species
GAGUUUGAUCGUGGCUCAGGUUGAACGCUGGCGGCAUGCCUUACACAUGCAAGUCGAACGGCAGCAUGAUCUAGCUUGCUAGAUUGAUGGCGAGUGGCGAACGGGUGAGUAAUACAUCGGAACGUGCCCUGUAGUGGGGGAUAACUAGUCGAAAGAUUAGCUAAUACCGCAUACGACCUGAGGGUGAAAGUGGGGGACCGCAAGGCCUCAUGCUAUAGGAGCGGCCGAUGUCUGAUUAGCUAGUUGGUGGGGUAAAGGCCCACCAAGGCGACGAUCAGUAGCUGGUCUGAGAGGACGAUCAGCCACACUGGGACUGAGACACGGCCCAGACUCCUACGGGAGGCAGCAGUGGGGAAUUUUGGACAAUGGGCGAAAGCCUGAUCCAGCAAUGCCGCGUGUGUGAAGAAGGCCUCGG